CCCUUAGAUGUUCUGGGCUGCACGCGUGCUACACUGAUUAUUUCAACAAGUGUUUUAACUGGAGAGUUUGCGUAAUCCUGAAAUGUUAUCGUGAUGGGAGUAGAGUAUUGUAUUUGUUAAUCUUUAACGAGGAAUUCCUAGUAAGUGUAGGUUUAUAAGUUGUUCUGAUUACGUCCCUGCCCUUUGUACACACCGCCAGUCGCUCCUACCGAUUGAUUGAUCCGGUGAAUUACAUAGAAUUUUGCGUUUUACAUGACGGAAGACGAAGUGUUUUAAACCUUAUCAUUUAGAGGAAGGAGAAGUCGUAACA
rnacentral:rRNA from 1 species